rnacentral:rRNA from 1 species
UACAGAGGUCCCAAGCGUUGUUCGGAUUCAUUGGGCGUAAAGGGUGUGUAGGCGGCGCCGUAAGUCAGGUGUGAAAUCUCGGGGCUUAACUCCGAAACUGCAUUUGAUACUGCGGUGCUUGAGGACUGGAGAGGAGACUGGAAUUUACGGUGUAGCGGUGAAAUGCGUAGAUAUCGUAAGGAAGACCAGUGGCGAAGGCGGGUCUCUGGACAGUUCCUGACGCUGAGACACGAAGGCCAGGGGAGCAAACGGG